rnacentral:rRNA from 1 species
CAGCCGCCACGGUAAUACGGAGGGUGCAAGCGUUAAUCGGAAUUACUGGGCGUAAAGCGCACGCAGGCGGUCUGACAAGUCAGAUGUGAAAUCCCCGGGCUUAACCUGGGAACUGCAUUUGAAACUGUCAGGCUGGAGUCUUGUAGAGGGGGGUGGAAUUCCAGGUGUAGCGGUGAAAUGCGUAGAGAUCUGGAGGAAUACCGGUGGCGAAGGCGGCCCCCUGGACAAAGACUGACGCUCAGGUGCGAAAGCGUGGGGAGCAAACAGGAUUAGUGACCCCAGUAGUCCCUGUCUCUUAUAA